rnacentral:rRNA from 1 species
ACACCGGCAGCUCAAGUGGUAGCCGCUUUUAUUGGGCCUAAAGCGUCCGUAGCCGGUCUGAUAAGUCUCUGGUGAAAUCCCGCAGCUUAACUGUGGGAAUUGCUGGAGAUACUAUCAUGACUCGAGGUCGGGAGAGGCUGGAGGUACUCCCAGGGUAGGGGUGAAAUCCUGGAAUCCUGGGAGGACCACCUGUGGCGAAGGCGUCCAGCUGGAACGAACCUGACGGUGAGGGACGAAAGCCAGGGGCGCGAACCGGAUUAGAUACCCGGGUAGUCCUGGCCGUAAACGAUGUGGACUUGGUGUUGGGAUGGCUUCGAGCUGCCCCAGUGCCGAAGGGAAGCUGUUAAGUCCACCGCCUGGGAAGUACGGCCGCAAGGCUGAAACUUAAAGGAAUUGGCGGGG